AUGAGAUCUACAUUUUGGUGUAGUUUAUUACCAUGGAGUUUUAGUUUCCGCUCAGCUCAACUCAAGUCAACAUGGCGAAAUUAAUCCAUUCUGUCCAGAAGUUUUUAUCAGUGAAAAAACUGAUAAAAACUUCUGGGAAUUAUAUAGAAUUGUUGAAACAGUGAAACAAAAAUUUAAGUUGGAAAUCGGAGCAGAUUGCAACUUCGUGUAAAUAUGUAUACAUGUGUGUGUAUGUCAUUCCAUAGUUUGCAUUAUACUUAAAUUUUAUAAUU